CUUUAAGAAAACCUCCCUAUGCCAUGAUCAACUUCUUUUUAAAAGUUAUGGUUAAAAUCAUUCUCUUCACAUUUUAUUUCCAGACCUUAUGCAGUAUUCUGGUAGGCCCCAUAUCAGCCCCAUCGGCAGCCCCAUUUAGAUUUCUCUAAGCAACUUCAAAAUAUUUGCUAAAUACAUGAAGGAAGGAAAAACUCCAUCACCUCAUCUGUGAAAAUCAACAGGAAAUACCAUGCAGUACUCCUAUCCCCAUCAAACAAUGUUAUCUUCAUAUGAGCAGAUUAAGAAAAAAAUGUCCCACAGGAGAGGGGAGUCAGAAACUGUGUGAGUGCUGUCCAGGAUCAAGCAGCUACACCUACACAGCCCCAAAUUUGAGAAAGGAGAUUACAAAAAGUUGGGCAUUGUGGUGCAUGACAUGGC
rnacentral:lncRNA from 1 species